GGAAUAGCAGAGAAACACUGUCUACCAGCUUGCAUCUUCAGCUUGCUCAGCUGCUCUUGUUAGCUCAGGCCCACCUGCGCAGGAUUGGUACUGCCCACAGGGACCUAGGCUCUGAAUCAUCAAUGAGCAAUUAAGAAAAUACCCCACAGACACACCCACAUUGCAGGCACAGUCUGGUGGAGGAAAUUCUUUCCCUGAGAUUCGCUCUACCCAGGUGGCUCUAGCUGGUGUCAAGCUGACAAAAACUAACCAGAGCGUAACAGUGAGAUGUUUUUUUUUUUAAUGGAGAUGAGGUUAGCUAUAGAUGGUAGAUGUUUGUUGAAGUCUUGAGAACGUUUUUGUCUUCAGACAUAUAGAAGCACAGGACAUACUGGGGUACACUUCUCCAGAGCACACCCUCAAACUCCUUAAGAUAAAUAAGUUACAGCUUUUCCCACCAACUCUGAUCUGGCUUGAGCACACAUGAUCAGGAAGAGGAGGGUUCCCCUGCAGGGUUUUUCUCAUUCUCACUUUUUAAUAAUCCAGAGGAAUCUGAGGACAGCACCCCACGUGGAAGAAACAUGCUAAAUGAACAGCUUCCUGAAUCUCUACCCCAAGUUCAAUCCUGACAGUUAAUUACUGAAGCAAGGAGAACAUUUUGUAUUCCUGCUUUUCGAUUGUGCCUUGCAAAGCUGAGCCUAAUGAGAACAAGUUCUCACCCCGUUCUGAACUUGCCGACUUCUCUGCUUGGAAACUCUGAGCAAAACAUCUGAACAUGAAGAGGAGGCAGAAAGAUUGUAAGAACCUGAAGUGGUGGAUGAUUCCAAGAAAACAACGUCUUCCAGACUUAGUUCUAUUGCUAUGAAGAGACAACAAUAAUCAAGGCAACUCUUAGGAAAGAAAGCAUUUAACUGGGGCGUUAUGCACAGUUUAGAGGCUUAGUGUGUUAUCAUCAUGGUGGCGAGAGAGAG